rnacentral:rRNA from 1 species
UACGUAGGGUGCAAGCGUUAAUCGGAAUACUGGGCGUAAAGCGUGCGCAGGCGGUUUUGUAAGUCUGUCGUGAAAGCCCCGGGCUCAACCUGGGAAUUGCGAUGGAGACUGCAAGGCUUGAAUCUGGCAGAGGGGGGGUAGAAUUCCACGUGUAGCAGUGAAAUGCGUAGAGAUGUGGAGGAACACCGAUGGCGAAGGCAGCCCCCCCUGGGUCAAGAUUGACGCUCAUGCACGAAAGCGUGGGGAGCAAACAGG